rnacentral:rRNA from 1 species
AUUGAACGCUGGCGGCAGGCUUAACACAUGCAAGUCGAGCGGGGUGAUGGUGCUUGCACUAUCACUUAGCGGCGGACGGGUGAGUAAUGCUUAGGAAUCUGCCUAUUAGUGGGGGACUACAUCUCGAAAGGGAUGCUAAUACCGCAUACGUCCUACGGGAGAAAGCAGGGGAUCACUUGUGACCUUGCGCUAAUAGAUGAGCCUAAGUCGGAUUAGCUAGUUGGUGGGGUAAAGGCCUACCAAGGCGACGAUCUGUAGCGGGUCUGGGAGGAUGAGCCGCCACACUGGGACUGGGACACGGCCCAGACUCCUACGGGAGGCAGCAGUGGGGAAUAUUGGACAAUGGGGGCAACCCUGAUCCAGCCAUGCCGCGUGUGUGAAGAAGGCCUUAUGGUUGUAAAGCACUUUAAGCGAGGAGGAGGCUCUUUUGGUUAAUACCCAAGAUGAGUGGACGUUACUCGCAGAAUAAGCACCGGCUAACUCUGUGCCAGCAGCCGCCGUAA